AUAUCAAGGGACUAAGGUCUGUAUCCACGUGAAUUUACUCACAAGUGGAUAACAGACCUUGGGAUCUGCCCACCCGACAUGAGCUUAAAAGCGGGAUGAUAAUCCCGCGAUAUGCGAAUGCAGGGUAGGAUUGUGAGAGUGCGCAGCACGGAACAAUCCGUGGGUAUC
rnacentral:sRNA from 1 species